rnacentral:rRNA from 1 species
UACGUAGGGUGCGAGCGUUAAUCGGAAUUACUGGGCGUAAAGCGUGCGCAGGCGGCGCGUUUAAGACAGGUGUGAAAGCCCCGAGCUUAACUUGGGAAUUGCGCUUGUGACUGGCGUGCUGGAGUGUGGCAGAGGGAGGUGGAAUUCCACGUGUAGCAGUGAAAUGCGUAGAGAUGUGGAGGAACACCGAUGGCGAAGGCAGCCUCCUGGGCCAGCACUGACGCUCAUGCACGAAAGCCGUGGGGAGCAAACAGG